UACGGAGGAUGCGAGCGUUAUCCGGAUUUAUUGGGUUUAAAGGGUGCGUAGGCGGGCUUUUAAGUCAGCGGUAAAAUUUCGGGGCUCAACCCCGUCGUGCCGUUGAAACUGACACCCUUGAGUGAGUGAGAAGUAAGCGGAAUGCGUGGUGUAGCGGUGAAAUGCAUAGAUAUCACGCAGAACGCCGAUUGCGAAGGCAGCUUACCAAUCUAUAUCUGACGUUGAGGCACGAAAGCGUGGGGAGCAAACAGG
rnacentral:rRNA from 1 species